UUUCAGUUAUGGUUGCAGGAAACACGGAUGCCCGAAGGGCAUUCCACGCCUUAGCGGUUCGUAUCAGAAGUAUAAUUUAAUUAAAUCCCUCUUAAA